GUGCCCUUGGAAGAAGAGACAUCAGAGAGCUUCCUCACACUUUCUGCGAUGGGAGGACACAGAAGGAAAGUGGCCAUCUGCAAGCCAGGAAGAAGGUCCUCACCACAAUGGGACCAUGUAGGGACCCUGAUCUUGAACUUCCAUCUACAAUGCAGAGAAAUGCAUUGUACCCGUGAUAAAGAGCCAUACCCCACCUGCAGACAGAAUUCUGGUGCUGCUGCUCCUCGGAGACACCAGCUGUGAGCAAAAGCUGCCUGAACACCUUGCCUCGGGGAUAGUCCUGGGUGAUUGUCCGCCAACCAGUUGCCAUUGACCCACAGUGAUUUCAGUUUUGUGGUGAAGGAAAC